UGUAGAUGAGCCUCCGGAGAACAUAUUUUUGUGUCAAUUUUAUAUCAAGGACUUGAGAAAUAUCUUACUGUCGUGUUUCACUUGUGCCACAACACUGACAGACUGAAGCACCAAUACACCUUGGUUCAGGAAGGCCUUGUCCCUGCUGGCAGAAGCUGUAAGGACUGAUUUUAUUUUCACUCUUACAGUCACCAGCUCUGAGGAAUUGCACUGGGUUGCCUAGGCUUUUGUAGGGAGGCGGAUAGGAGGUGGCGAGGCCUCAGCGCUGAGUGCUUUGAUCAUUCUUUCGCAAAGCAAAGAGCUGCUCUGUGUUGCACAAGACUGGAGUUUCUCAAGUCCGUCGUGGUUGCACUAAGCACGUGAUAAACACAGGGCCUAGCAGUGGUGCUCCACAGCUCAGCUUUCUGCAGACAGUUAUGACAGAGCAACCACUUGGAAAUCAAAGGAUUUCUCAGAAGCAGCCGAUCAUCUGAGGAGUGCAGGAAUGAUCUUCAAAGUAGCCUAAUCACUUCAUGCUGACAUUUUAAUAACAUCAAUGGGAGGACUUGCGGAGAACAGCAGGUAUGAAAAGAUGGGGAAUACAGUCAUCGGCUUUGUAGAACCUGAGGAGGCGAAGCUACAUCCUGGUACCUCUGCAGUGUGGUGGAAAGGUUUCUUCCUGGUGAAGGGAAGAUACAGAAUUUAACACCAUCCGAAGAUUCUACAAUAGCAACUUGAUCAUGUUGUGCUAAUACAUAGCUCUCAAAACAAACAAACACAAAACAUAAAACCAACCCCAAAACGUUGUUUGCGUCCACUACAUUUAUAGAAGACUGUAUCCUUAAAAGAUCUGAAGCAACUGGAAAUUUAUAAAAUAAAUAAUAGAAGAAAGAUGACUCUGGGUCUUUU
rnacentral:lncRNA from 1 species